CACGUAGGGGGCAAGCGUUGUCCGGAUUUAUUGGGCGUAAAGAGCUCGUAGGCGGUUCGGCAAGUCGGGUGUGAAACCCCCAGGCUCAACCUGGGGACGCCACCCGAUACUGCUGUGACUAGAGUCCGGUAGGGGAGCGUGGAAUUCCUGGUGUAGCGGUGAAAUGCGCAGAUAUCAGGAGGAACACCAAUGGCGAAGGCAGCUCGCUGGGACGUGACUGACGCUGAGACGCGAAAGCGUGGGGAGCAAACAGG
rnacentral:rRNA from 1 species